GGUCACAUCACGGUGAAACACCAGUUCUCGUACGAUCACCAGAGUUAAGCAACAUCGAGCCUGGUCAGUACGUCGACGGGUGACCGCUUGGAAAUACCAGUUGCUGUAA